rnacentral:lncRNA from 1 species
GCCCCGCCUGUCCGUCUGCCAGUCUGCCAACAGCCCCACUCCUGGCCUUUCAUCUCAUGCCACGGCAGCCAGCCUGAUGCUGCAAUCCCCCACCCCCGGCUGUCCAGCUCCACAGCCUCUCCUGGGCUUGGGCCCCAUAGGAGCCAAAGACCUGGGACCCCCAGGGCUUUGGCCCCCUGCUGCAGACCUGCCCAGGGUGGUCUGGGGGGCAUGGCCCCUCCUCAGCCUGUAAACACACACACACAGACACACCUUCCCAGGGUCACGUGAGCACACACCUUGAGGCUCACCCCCACUAUCCUUUCCUCCCUGAGCAGCCUCCCUCCAUCACCACCCCCCAACACCUUGGGACUCCUCCUGUCUCCAGAGUCCUUUUCCUGCCCUGUCCUUUCUGACUUGAAGGCCCAGGCAGCCAUGGGGAGGCAGUGAGGCGGCAGGAGGAGACUUGGCAAUCAGAGGCACAGACGUUGCUGGUGGUAGCAGCCAUUGUCUUCACCCGAAUCUUCUCCUUUUCCUGGGAUUGGCAGAGGCAGGCAAGCACUGAGGCAAGGGGAUGGAUGAGCUGACCCAUGGCGAGUGAGGAGGACCAGCUCCUCAGGUGAACAGGCUGCCACCCCAGGCAUCGGCCCCCUUCCAACCCCAGCCCCAUUCCCAGGACCUUGGGCAAAGUGCAGGCUGAGACCAGCUGGCACUGGUGGGGAGGGGGCCGGGAUAAGUUCUCGGUGCUGCUGGUGGUGGCAGCCGCCCACCAGGGGGCUAGGAGAGAAACAGAUGAUGCUUUGAUGAAGGAUGCUGAGGCAACAGCUCAAAGUUGCCCUCUAGGACUUGCUGUGAAGGAGGUAUGGAGGAGGCAGAAAAGGCUGGAAUACGGCCUCCUUCUCUGGCUGGGGGGUGAGUCCUAGCCAUGGCAGAAAAGAGCAAAGCCACAUCAAGCAGAGCAGGGCAGAGGCUUUGUCCAGAAACCCUCUACCCCAGUCCCACCCCCAGCCUUGGGCACAGAUAGUUGGGCCUGGCCUGAGCUCUGCUGGCCACAGCCAUCCAGGAGCCAGGCGAGCAUGUGUGGGUGUGUCCUCCCCAGGAUGGGGGGCCCUGAGGGCAGACACCAAGUCUUCCGCACCUUCCUACCUGCUCCACCACAGUGUUGGAAGGCACUACCCACUGCCAAUUACAGCCAGGCGCCUUUCCUGAAGCCCUGGUUCACUUCAUUCACAGCCCAUUACCAUGUACCUACUGCAUCCUAGGAGCUUCACAGGGACAGGAGGGGCAGGGAGCAUUGUCAUCACCCCCAACUGUUUGUGGGUCAAGGAGACCAAAACAAAGACAGUCUGAAGAGGGGGGCCCCUGGAGGCUGGGAGUUCCUCAAAGCUACCCAGAGGAAGUGUGGCUGGAGGAGAGAACAGAGGAUGGGCAGGGAUUAGGGAAGAGAGGAUUCACUGCAGCAGGGGAGGGGGCUGUCAUCAAGACACAAGAGCAUGAGGGUAGGCGGAUGUGCUGACCACCAGCUCGAGACCCACUGCCUGGGGGAAAGUGGCAGGAAUAAGGUGUACCUGCAGAGAGGAGGCAGAAGGAUUCCUCCUGGGGCAGGAGAGGCCUUGGGGAAGGAAUGAAGGGAGAGUCAUAUUUUACUGUUUCUUUUACUACACUGUUGAAUCUCAUACAAGAAUGUAUUACUCGU